ACGUAGGUGGCAAGCGUUGUCCGGAUUUAUUGGGCGUAAAGCGAGCGCAGGCGGUUCUUUAAGUCUGAUGUGAAAGCCCCCGGCUCAACCGGGGAGUGUCAUUGGAAACUGGAGAACUUGAGUGCAGAAGAGGAGAGUGGAAUUCCACGUGUAGCGGUGAAAUGCGUAGAUAUGUGGAGGAACACCAGUAGCGAAGGCGACUCUCUGGUCUGUAACUGACGCUGAGCCUCGAAAGCGUGGGGAGCAAACAGGAUUAGAUACCCUGGUAGUCCACGCCGUAAACGAUGAGUGCUAAGUGUUAGGGGGUUUCCGCCCCUUAGUGCUGCAGCUAACGCAUUAAGCACUCCGCCUGGGGAGUACGGCCGCAAGGCUG
rnacentral:rRNA from 1 species